rnacentral:rRNA from 1 species
GACGAACGCGGGCGGCGUGCUUAACACAUGCAAGUCGAACGAAGAGCGAUGGAAGCUUGCUUCUAUCAAUCUUAGUGGCGAACGGGUGAGUAACGCGUAAUCAACCUGCCCUUCAGAGGGGGACAACAGUUGGAAACGACUGCUAAUACCGCAUACGAUCUAAUCUCGGCAUCGAGGAUAGAUGAAAGGUGGCCUCUACAUGUAAGCUAUCACUGAAGGAGGGGAUUGCGUCUGAUUAGCUAGUUGGAGGGGUAACGGCCCACCAAGGCGAUGAUCAGUAGCCGGUCUGAGAGGAUGAACGGCCACAUUGGGACUGAGACACGGCCCAGACUCCUACGGGAGGCAGCAGUGGGGAAUCUUCCGCAAUGGACGAAAGUCUGACGGAGCAACGCCGCGUGAGUGAUGACGGCCUUCGGGUUGUAAAGCUCUGUUAAUCGGGACGAAAGGCCUUCUUGCGAAUAGUGAGAAGGAUUGACGGUACCGGAAUAGAAAGCCACGCA